ACAAUGACAGGAAAAACAUGGAGUUCAGAAGUAAAUGAUUCCAAGAUGGACACUAAGAAUGCAAUAGAAGAGAAGAAUUUACACAAAAUAUUCGUAACCUUACAGCUUUCAUUGUUUCAUCAUAUGCAUUGCUUACUCUAUUUCACUGUCAAGUUAAAGUAUCCACCGGUUGUUUGGUUGGCUCAUGUACAUUCUUGUGUAGAGCAUAAUUAGAUAGCCAACAUAUAUAUCCUCAAGUUAAAGAAUGUUUGACUUGAAAGUUUUGCAGAAGUACUCUUCAGCAGUGGUUUUGCAUCCUAAGCCUGAUACUUUACGGGCUUAUGACACUUGUCUUUCUAGAAGUAGCCAGUACUGUUUUUUGUGCCUUUCUACCGUAUGUUUUAAAGGCUAUCUUCUCAGUUUUGUUCUGUAAUGCCUGUGGCUGUAUAUGUCUGCAGGCAACAAGUGUAUCAGGAGUUUCUCUUUAUGUUUCCUGAUUUAUGUUGCUUCUUAUUGCUCCAGAAAGACAACUUUAUUGUGAACUACUGCGUCUACAAGAUUUUCUCUACCUACAACCGUUCAGUUCCGGAUUAUUAAUCAGGCUACUAAAGGAAAGCUUUACUAGAAUGACCAAACUGAAGUUAUAUUUCAGAACUAAAGUAUGCUUCGGAAUGUCAUAGUUGUUCUUUUCCUCUUGCUUUUGCUUCUUGGUUUCCUAUUUUAGUUCAGAUCUACGAUGAUAGUUCAGCUCCUAGCAACAGUACAAAGAAACAAAAUUUCUAUGAUAUUAUGCAGCUAAGAUUACCGAUUCUAGCAUAUGUUGCUUCACAAUACACAAUGAAGGAUAACAUACAUGUCGGUGUCAGCUCAAUCUGCACCUGAUCGAAUUGUUCUGUCGGUUGCUCCUAUCUCCCGUUUCUUCAUGUGGCAACAGCUUCCUCACGACAUGAUGCAAGCUUCUUCCUCUUCGGUUCCUCUAUCUCGAGUUUAAAGUGCUUUUUCCUGAAAUUCAUAAUUCUUGCCCCCUUAUUGGAUAUUUGCAGUUCUGGCUUUCAUUUCUUGGCGCCUUUACGCAAAUUGUGAUGUUUCCUAUGUAUGUUUCUCCUUUUAAGGAAUCUACUGGAUGCUUAACUUGGCCAUCUAAUAAUAUUCAGUUGAGUGGAUAUGACCAUGUUACCAGCCCAACUGCCCAGAAAGAUGAGUGUGUCUCCUCGGGAUGUUGGGAAAUCCGCCAGCUUUCAUGACGUCACGCUACCGGGCACGUCCGCAAUCAAAUGGAAACAGACCCACCAUUAUCUAGCCUGCCAAUCAAUUUGUUUUGUAGGUUGUUCAUGGCUUACCUGUCAAUUCUGCACUACUUCCUGUCGGUAAUGUGCCUUCGUCGGUAUAAAAAUUAAGAGGUGUCUACAUUUGGAACGUAUUGGAAGGUGAGUGUCCAAAUUGAAAAUAGCUACCACUAUCUACAGCCUUCUAUCAUAAUAUAGUAUUACGCGUGCAUCCAAAACCCAGCUUACUGUAUCCUUUGAGGCAAACUGCACUGUAUUAAUGCUCAUCCCAGAAGUGGCAAUCUUUUCCUAUGUACAUGAAUUAAUUUUUCUUGCAGAAUAUUGGCUGCGGUGUUUGAUUCACUGCACUGUAUUAAGUUACUAAAACGAUGCUCAUACUGACAUGUUACAUUUCUACCUGAUGGUAACUAGGAGUCAUGACGCACUACUGGAAUGCAGGUAAUGUUGUAGUAUCCUCCUGUAAGUCAUAUAACUAUUUCAUCUUCGUAACAUCGGUGUUAUCAUCCAUUUGCUAAUUGGCUCAUUGUAGGCUAGCUGGUAAUGAUAUGACAAUUUAUUGAUUGUAGCUGCUUAUUUGUCAUCAA